UACAGAGGGGGCAAGCGUUGUUCGGAAUUACUGGGCGUAAAGGGCGCGUAGGCGGCCCGCUAAGUCGAACGUGAAAUCCCUCAGCUUAACUGGGGAACUGCGUCCGAUACUGGAUGGCUUGGAUUUGGGAGAGGGAUGCGGAAUUCCAGGUGUAGUGGUGAAAUGCGCAGAUAUCAGGAGGAACACCGGUGGCGAAGGCGGGUCUCUGGGCAGUAACUGACGCUGAGGAGCGAAAGCGUGGGGAGCAAACAGG
rnacentral:rRNA from 1 species